rnacentral:rRNA from 1 species
GAUGAACGCUGGCGGCGUGCCUAAUACAUGCAAGUCGAGCGAAUGGAUUAAGAGCUUGCUCUUAUGAAGUUAGCGGCGGACGGGUGAGUAACACGUGGGUAACCUGCCCAUAAGACUGGGAUAACUCCGGGAAACCGGGGCUAAUACCGGAUAACAUUUUGAACCGCAUGGUUCGAAAUUGAAAGGCGGCUUCGGCUGUCACUUAUGGAUGGACCCGCGUCGCAUUAGCUAGUUGGUGAGGUAACGGCUCACCAAGGCAACGAUGCGUAGCCGACCUGAGAGGGUGAUCGGCCACACUGGGACUGAGACACAGCCCAGACUACUACGGGAGGCAGCAGUAGGGAAUCUUCCGCAAUGGACGAAAGUCUGACGGAGCAACGCCGCGUGAGUGAUGAAGGCUUUCGGGUCGUAAAACUCUGUUGUUAGGGAAGAACAAGUGCUAGUUGAAUAAGCUGGCACCUUGACGGUACCUAACCAGAAAGCCACGGCUAACUACGUGCCAGCAGCCGCCGUAC